AACGAACGCUGGCGGCAUGCCUAACACAUGCAAGUCGAACGAGACCGUCGGGGCUAGUGGCGCACGGGUGCGUAACGCGUGGGAAUCUGCCCUUGGGUUCGGAAUAACAGUUGGAAACGACUGCUAAUACCGGAUGAUGACGUAAGUCCAAAGAUUUAUCGCCCAGGGAUGAGCCCGCGUAGGAUUAGCUAGUUGGUGGGGUAAAGGCCUACCAAGGCGACGAUCCUUAGCUGGUCUGAGAGGAUGAUCAGCCACACUGGGACAGAGACACGGCCCAGACUCCUACGGGAGGCAGCAGUGGGGAAUAUUGGACAAUGGGCGAAAGCCUGAUCCAGCAAUGCCGCGGGAGUGAUGAAGGCCUUAGGGUUGUAAAGCUCUUUUACCCGGGAUGAUAAUGACAGUACCGGGAGAAUAAGCCCCGGCUAACUCCGUG
rnacentral:rRNA from 1 species